GUCUAAUCAGAAUUUGAGCUCACUGGGGGCAGGGAUUAAUCAUUGCGUAUCCAUCCUUCUACGUCUCCGGGUGCACGCGGAGCAGGGCGGUGGCGUAAACGCUUACCAGGCCCCGACCGACAGUGACUUCAGAAGUUAGAUACCAGGGGAGAAGGAGCAACGUAACCUGCGCUCCGCGCUGCUCAAGGCAUGCGACGUGGACAUGUUUGGUGACGGUCCACAGCUCGGCUUUCCCAGAGGAGCCCGUCCGGCUGGGCUGAGAUUCUCAGGCUCUCCUGAGGGUGAAAGAGCCUGGGAAAAGCCACGACAAGGAACAGGAAGGUCAUUGCCAGCUGUAAAAGGUCUAGGAUUUGGUUUCCAGAGAAAAGGGAGAGGAUAGAGGUUAACUGAGUUUUCAGACCUCAAAGUAACCAAGGGGACUUUCCUAAUUCUAGUAAAAGGCCACUAAUUGUGGUGAGUCAAGGAAGCGGUAAAGAAGCAGGGGAGAGGCAAGUGUUCAGCACCCCUUUUCAGGGGAAAAGUCCAAAAAUGAUUCUGCUUAAUCUUACCCAAUCCUUGUAGAAAACAACUAUGGUCACUCAAGGGAGCAAACAUGUCACAUUUGGACCCAGCAUCUUUCAGCAUUGGUGGAAGCCACCCUCCCCCGGACACAGGGCCAACCUCUCCCACCGCACUUCCCUCUUCCCACGGGGCAGGCCUAGGUCCAGCUCCCAGCCCCGUCCAGUCCAGUCCAGUCCAGGCUGCCCCUAUCCUGUUUAGUCCACUUUUCAGCCGAGGGAGCCACCUCAGGAGACAUCCCUAGCUGUUCGCCAGAUCCUUCCUAGGUCAAACUCCAUGUUUGUCAUUGCGUAUGUGGACAAGUCAAGCCAGAAAACCUGGGCUGUUUCUCCUUUACGCCCUGGACCCAGACUAAAACAUGGCCUCUCGAGUCUUGGCAGACGGGGCUUCAACACAAUCCCAGUAAGUGGAUCAACUCAAGGCAUGGAGCGACUGGAGCUCCUCUGCCACUUGUUGUUAAGAGAGUGUCACAAUCCGCAGCCAACGUUGCAGCAUCUCCCAGUUCCUGCCACGCAGGCCUCCCACGAAUGAAGAGAUGAAGCCACGUGGAGUUGCUGAAUUAGCUGUUAAUCCAGCUUGGACUGAAGACGGGGGAAGAGGAAAGGGUUAAAUUGGUCUCAAACUGUCUGGACAGAGCAGAGAUCUGGGCCAGGUGAAGGGACAAGAGAGGGUAGGUUGAAGAGUAGGUUGGAGCACGCUGGAGAAAAAUCACUCAAAAUUUGGCAAUGGGCAAAGAAUAAUAUCCGUCCUGGGGGAGGGAGGAGAAGGACCGCGACACGUAUGGUUUUUGACCCUGUGAGACAUUAAGCAGUUUAGAUUUUGACAUAGUGAUCUUAAGCUCACUUCUCUUUCUUAAAUUGCCUAUAAAAUAAAAAAAAUUUCCAAUUGUCA
rnacentral:lncRNA from 1 species